UACGGAGGGAGCUAGCGUUGUUCGGAAUUACUGGGCGUAAAGCGUACGUAGGCGGUUAUUUAAGUCAGCGGUGAAAGCCCGGGGCUCAACCCCGGAACUGCCUUUGAAACUAGAUAACUAGAAUCUUGGAGAGGUCAGUGGAAUUCCGAGUGUAGAGGUGAAAUUCGUAGAUAUUCGGAAGAACACCAGUGGCGAAGGCGACUGACUGGACAAGUAUUGACGCUGAGGUACGAAAGCGUGGGGAGCAAACAGG
rnacentral:rRNA from 1 species